AGUGAACGCUGGCGGUAGGCCUAACACAUGCAAGUCGAACGGCAGCACAGUAAGAGCUUGCUCUUACGGGUGGCGAGUGGCGGACGGGUGAGGAAUACAUCGGAAUCUACUUUUUCGUGGGGGAUAACGUAGGGAAACUUACGCUAAUACCGCAUACGACCUACGGGUGAAAGCAGGGGAUCUUCGGACCUUGCGCGAUUGAAUGAGCCGAUGUCGGAUUAGCUAGUUGGCGGGGUAAAGGCCCACCAUGGCGACGAUCCGUAGCUGGUCUGAGAGGAUGAUGAGACACACGGAAAGUGAGACAGGGUCCAGACUCACGCGAGGGACAGCAGUGGGAUAUUUUGGAAAAGGGGCGAAAGUGUGAGCGAGCCAUACCGCGUGGGAGAAGAGGGCUUUGAGGGUGUAAAGCCCUUUUGUGGGAAAAAAAAAGGAGCAGGUUAAUACCCCGGUGUUGUGGCGGCACCAAAAGAAUAACAACGGUCUAACUUCG
rnacentral:rRNA from 1 species